AACAUCGCGCACCUGCGGGAACCUGCGGAAGGAUCAUUACAGAGUGUAAAAACCCCCAAAACCCAUGUGAACAUACCUUUUUGUUGCUUCGGCGGGAUCGCCCCGGGCGCCUUGUGUGCCCCGGAGUCAGGCGCCCGCCGGGGGACCCAAACUCUUGUUUUUAACGAGUAUCUUCUGAGUAACGUUUUUAAAUAAAUAAAAACUUUCAACAAUGGAUCU
rnacentral:misc_RNA from 1 species